GUCUUUUUGAGUUAUUUUGAAAGUCUGACCUGCCCACUGAAUUUUUAAAUGGCCGCAGUAUUCUAACUGUGCAAAGGUAGCAUAAUCAUUAGUCUUUUAAUUGGAGGCUGGUAUGAACGGUUGGACGAGGUAUUAACUGUUUCAUAUAUAUUUAUAUUAGAAUUUUAUUUUUUAGUUAAAAAGCUAAAAUAGUAUUAAAAGACGAGAAGACCCUAUAAAUCUUUAUAUUUUGUAUAUUUUAAAUGGUUUAGAUUUAUUUUAUUUUUAUUAUAAAAGAUAUUUUGUUGGGGUGAUGUUAAAAUUUAAUGAACUUUUAAUUAUUAAUGGUCAUUAAUUUAUGUAUUAUUGAUCCACUAAUAGUGAUUAUAAGAUUAAGUUACUUUAGGGAUAACAGCGUAAUUUUUUUGGAGAGUUCAUAUCGAUAGAAAAGUUUGCGACCUCGAUGUUGGAUUAAGAUAUAAUUUUAGGUGUAGCCGCUUAAAUUUUAAGUCUGUUCGACUUUUAAAUUCUU
rnacentral:rRNA from 1 species